rnacentral:rRNA from 1 species
AGUAAAAGUCGUAACAAGGUUUCCGUAGGUGAACCUGCGGAAGGAUCAUUAAUGAAUAACUAUGGUGUUGGUUGUUGCUGGCUUCUAGGAGCAUGUGCACACCCACCAUUCUUAUCUGUCCACCUGUGAACACUAUGUAGGUCUGGAUAACUCUCGCUUUCGGGCGGAUACAGGGAUUGUCGCUUGCGGCUCUCCUUGAAUUUCCAGAUCUAUGUAUUUACAUACCCCAAUUGAAUGUUGAAGAAUGCAGUCAAUGGGCUUUAAGCCUAUAAAACAAUAUACAACUUUCAGCAACGGAUCUCUUGGCUCUCGCAUCGAUGAAGAACGCGGCGAAAUGCGAUAAGUAAUGUGAAUUGCAGAAUUCAGUGAAUCAUCGAAUCUUCGAACGCACCUUGCGCUCCUUGGUAUUCCGAGGAGCAUGCCUGUUUGAGUGUCAUUAAAUUCUCAACUUCAUCAUUUUUUGUUGAAGCUUGGAUGUGGGGGUUGUGCAGAACACUUUGGUGGUCUGCUCCCCUUAAAUGAAUUAGCGAGUUCAAACUGAGCUCCGUCUAUUGGUGUGAUAAUUAUCUACGCUGUGGAUGGGACUUAGACUUGCUUCUAAACUGUCCGCAAGGACAAUUCUUGACAAUUUGACCUCAAAUCAGGUAGGACUACCCGCUGAACUUAAGCAUAUCAAUAAGCGGAGGA